rnacentral:sRNA from 1 species
GCAAUAGAUGAGGCAUAUGAGCGGAUGCGGUGACGCCCUCUGAAAGGGGGUGGAGCCUAUGACAGUAUACCAAGCAUUAACAUUGAUGACUAGUUUUUCAGUGCUAAUACUGAUGCUGUCAGAUAGAAAGAAAUGAUCCGCUUCAUAUGCCAUCGCACUGGCUGAAGCGGAUCGGGUAGAAACUAUUCGACUGUGAUGCACUGCAUCCGCUCUUUUCGCGGAUAUUGCCAUUCCGUCAGUGUUCAUGCACUGGCG